AGUCGUAACAAGGUUUCCGUAGGUGAACCUGCGGAAGGAUCAUUAAUUAUGUUAAAGCGCCUUACCUUAGGGUUUCCUCUGGGGUAAGUGAUUGCUUCUACACUGUGAAAAUUUGGCUGAGAGACUCAGACUGGUCAUGGGUAGACCUAUCUGGGGUUUGAUCGAUGCCACUCCUGGUUUCAGGAGCACCCUUCAUAAUAAACCUAGAAAUUCAGUAUUAUAAAGUUUAAUAAAAAACAACUUUUAACAAUGGAUCUCUUGGUUCUCGCAUCGAUGAAGAACGUAGCAAAGUGCGAUAACUAGUGUGAAUUGCAUAUUCAGUGAAUCAUCGAGUCUUUGAACGCAGCUUGCACUCUAUGGUUUUUCUAUAGAGUACGCCUGCUUCAGUAUCAUCACAAACCCACACAUAACAUUUGUUUAUGUGGUAAUGGGUCGCAUCGCUGUUUUAUUACAGUGAGCACCUAAAAUGUGUGUGAUUUUCUGUCUGGCUUGCUAGGCAGGAAUAUUACGCUGGUCUCAGGAUCUUUUUCUUUGGUUCGCCCAGGAAGUAAAGUACAAGAGUAUAAUCCAGCAACUUUCAAACUAUGAUCUGAAGUCAGGUGGGAUUACCCGCUGAACUUAAGCAUAUCAAUAAGCGGAGGAA
rnacentral:misc_RNA from 1 species